GUAAAUGCUGGAAUACAACUGUCAUACUGAUUUGUAGGUUAACUGUCAUGCAAUUGUCACAAUUAAAAUCUUUCCUCCUAACCUAUCUUUAGUUAGUUAUCAAUAAAACAUUAGGCAAUCAGUGUUCUUGAGAAACUAAACAGAAUUACAAUUUAGGAUUCAGCUGGAAAAUAUAUUUAUUGAACACAUACUAUGUUCAAUGGCAUUAUUUUAGGUCUUUGAAGAAUUCAGAAAUAAAUUAGAGGGAGUAUAUUAUCCAGUGAGGGAGAGAUUUAUCAAUAACCAAAAUGUUCCGCAGAAUGUUCUAAAUGUUCUCAUGGAGGUGAGUGGGUGAUGACAAUGUUAAGAAAACAAUUUUUUAUAUUGCUUCAUGUAUUUCCUUUGUCUUCGUAGGCUUUACUUUUUGCCAUAUAAUGACCUCCUUCUGUCCCAGACUUCUCUCUCGGUAUUUGAAAAGAAGAAGAGAGAUACAGAGACAGAGACAGAGAGAUGGCAUUGAUACUGUUUUAUGGCUAUUAAAGAAUUUAGACAAAAGGAAUGGACGAGAGAAUUGAAGACAAUUGAGUGUGAUUUAAGCAUAUUUUCACCAAACACCAGUGACCUUGGAACCAGAAGGCCUGAGUUGAGCUGGAAUCUGGAGGAGAGAAAAACAUAGGAUAACGACUUUGGUGUGAAAAUUUGGUGUACUAGGAAUUACUUGUUAUGUAUUGAGAAUAUUUAGUAGGCAUUUGAGUUUAUAGUCAUUUCAAACUACCCCCAACUUUUAUUUACAUGGACAUCUGUAGGUGUAAAAGGCUGAAAUUAAGUCUCUGAAACAUAGAAUCUCAAUUUCAGGAGGAACACUUGAGAGUCAUUGGCCUAUAGAUGAUAGUUAAAGCCAUGAACCUGAAGGAGACCUUCAAGGGAGUGAGUAUAGGUCACAAGGAGAACAGAUAACUAUGAACAAGUCCUACGGCAUCCCGCAUUCUGAAGUCGAGGAGAAGAGAAAAUCAUGAGAGUCCGAGAAGAAGGAAACAGUGAAGGAGGAGGAAAAUCAAGGGAGUGUGGCAUCUUGGAAGCCACCAAGUGAAGAAAGAACUUCUAGAUGAAGCAUGACAGAAACUGAGUACUAGGCAUUGGACACAGCAAUGUGGAGAUGAUCUAUGAACUUGACAAAACAGUGUGUAUGGUGUUUCUAAUAAAAUACCUUAUUCAAGUGGGCUUCA
rnacentral:lncRNA from 1 species